ACAGAUCGUUCAGAGUUUGAUCCUGGCUCAGGACAACGCUGGCGGCGUGCCUAACACAUGCAAGUCAACGGGGUUACGGGAGCUUGCUCCUGUAACUUAGUGGCGAACGGGUGAGUAACGCGUGAGAAACCUGCCUUUCAGUGGGGGACAACAGUUGGAAACGACUGCUAAUACCGCAUAACAUCCUUUAGGGGCAUCCCUUUUGGAUCAAAGCUUUAUGUGCUGAAAGAUGGUCUCGCGUCUGAUUAGCUAGUUGGUGGGGUAACGGCCCACCAAGGCGACGAUCAGUAGCCGGUCUGAGAGGAUGAACGGCCACAUUGGGACUGAGAUACGGCCCAG
rnacentral:rRNA from 1 species